rnacentral:lncRNA from 1 species
UUCUUUCUAACGAAUUUCUCUUAAUUUACUGCUUCUUUUUAUAGUGUUUGAUUUUAUUUUCUCUUUUCUUUUUGGAUAAAAAAGUAGACUUUAUUUUAUUCCUCUGUUAAAUCGAUUUCAAGAUUAAUGUGCUUUUAUUGAAUGAUUGUUAAAAGAACUCGUAUUUGAGAAGCGUUGAUAAUCACUACUUGAAACAGGAUACAAAUAUCAAAUAAGUUGUGGAUCAAUACAAUAAUUAUUAAUCGUUAAAGUUUUUAGUUACAUUAUCUAAAAUACAUGCCUUGUUUAAAAUGUUGAAAGUUCCGUUUAAAAAGUUGACUAGGUUGAGCAAGAUCCGUUUAAAAAAUUGGGUUGUCUACUAAUUUGAUUUAGGUUUCAUUUAUAUGAUCUGUCACUUAAGUUGAAGAUGAAAGGUUGUUUUUUUCGGAGAUUGAAGUGUGUAGGGGUGUGGGUUUUAGGGGUUCGAUAGAAUAGAGAAGAUGAAGAUCUGUGAGAAGAAAGAUACGUUUGAAUGAUUAAUUUAUAAAAGUUUUUAAAUUAAAUAAUAAAUCAGAUUUUCAUGUUUAUUAAGGACAAUUUAGUAAUUUCACACCAACUUAACUGACCAAACUAACUGACAUUUACUCAGGGGGCUAUUCGAGUAACAAAUAAAAAAUCAUAGGGAGUAUACCUGCAAUUUACAAAAGGUGGAACUAAACGUGAAACCACAAGUACUAUUUGUAGGGCUGUAAACGAACCGAACGAACACGAACAAGGCCUUGUUCGUGUUCGUUCGUC